UACGAAGGGGGCAAGCGUUGUUCGGAAUUACUGGGCGUAAAGGGCGCGUAGGCGGAUAUAUCAGUUAGGGGUGAAAUCCCAGGGCUCAACCCUGGAACUGCCUUUAAUACAAUAUAUCUAGAGAUUGUGAGGGGAUAGCGGAAUAUCUAGUGUAGGGGUGAAAUCCGUAGAUAUUAGAUGGAACACCAGAGGCGAAGGCGGCUAUCUGGCACAAUACUGACGCUGAGGCGCGAAAGCGUAGGUAGCAAACAGG
rnacentral:rRNA from 1 species